AAAUUGAAGAGUUUGAUCAUGGCUCAGAUUGAACGCUGGCGGCAGGCCUAACACAUGCAAGUCGAACGGUAACAGGAAGCAACUUGCUGCUUCGCUGACGAGUGGCGGACGGGUGAGUAAUGUCUGGGAAACUGCCUGAUGGAGGGGGAUAACUACUGGAAACGGUAGCUAAUACCGCAUAACGUCGCAAGACCAAAGAGGGGGACCUUCGGGCCUCUUG
rnacentral:rRNA from 1 species